AAACUAAUUUAUUUUGGCGGCAUUUCAUCUAACUAGAGGAAUUUGUCCUUUAAUCGAUAAUCCACGAUAAACUUCACUUAAAUUAUAAAAUUUAUAUACCGCCAUCUUAAGAAUUAAUUAAUAAAUAUUUCUCUUAAAUAAUAAUAAUAAGUUAGGUCAAGGUGUAGUCCACAUUUAAGAAUGAGAUGAAUUACAUUAAACAUCAUUUAAAAAUUUUAAACAAUCGUUUAUUCGAAUUAGGAUUUAUUAGUAAUAUAAGAAUAAUAAUCUUAUAUGAUAAAGAUAAUAAAUGUGCACACAUCGCCC
rnacentral:rRNA from 1 species